GGCGACAGGAGUGUGCCUGGGGAGGUCACCGGGGCAAAUUCCUGGCAGCUGGCGGGUGGGGCUGGGUGCCAGCGGUGCCGCGGGCCUGGGGGUUCCCUGCAGACCCUGGGAGGUUCCUGGGGGCCGUCUUCCAGGGACUCCGUGUGAUUCCCCACCCAGCCACCCCCUGUUCUGUUUCCUCAUCUGCCCGGAGUUUGGACCUGAAGUUGAUUUAACGGCCAGGAAUUUCCCGUGUACACUGUCUGGUUUAAUCCGCUCCGCAGCAGGAGCGGUAAUCCCCGUGGACCGGUUACCUGGUGAACCUUGUUAGGGAGGCCCUUGGGGACCACCAGAGGUGCACAGCUGAGCUCAGGGCAGAACCUCUCAGGCCUUCUCUGCCACCUCCCCACACCACACACCACCUCCUGCUCUUCCAGGAAAGACCUGUCCCAGGGGUCUGCAGAUUCAUCCCUGGCACCAAUGCCCAGAGCCUUCGAUGGGCCCCGCUAACAGCAGUGCUUGUCAACUUUAUGUUCUGCCACCAGACUCAGGUUCUUGUUAAACCACAAAGUUGCUCAGAUGGGGCUCGGAAUUGUGAUUCUCCUGCCUCAGCCUCCUGGAAUGCUGGGAUGACAGGGUUUCCUGCCUUCACCCCACAUGCUGACAGUGUAGUAAUGGACGUGAAGCAGGGAGAGAUCCUCCUGUCUCAGCCUUCUGAGUGGUGGAUUACAGGCAGGCGUGCACCACCAUGCCGCACUCUACUGCUUCUUGAUAACACCGAACACUAG
rnacentral:lncRNA from 1 species